rnacentral:ribozyme from 1 species
UACCGCGUUGUAAGAGCGAAUAGAAUGUGAUCCGAAACCUCCUGAAGAUUCCAUCCAACUCCUAUUCCGACACGUCCACGUCGUGCAGGGUGGUAACAUGGGUCUGAACCCAACCUUUUGGGAGGGUGACAGCUCAUGGCUAAGGAGGAAGGG